rnacentral:rRNA from 1 species
GAUGAACGCUGGCGGCGUGCCUAAUACAUGCAAGUCGAGCGAACAGACGAGGAGCUUUCUCCUCUGACGUUAGCGGCGGACGGGUGAGUAACACGUGGAUAACCUACCUAUAAGACUGGGAUAACUUCGGGAAACCGGAGCUCAUACCGGAUAAUAUAUUGAACCGCAUGGUUCAAUAGUGAAAGACGGUUUUGCUGUCACUUAUAGAUGGAUCCGCGCCGCAUUAGCUAGUUGGUAAGGUAACGGCUUACCAAGGCAACGAUGCGUAGCCGACCUGAGAGGGUGAUCGGCCACACUGGAACUGAGACACGGUCCAGACUCCUACGGGAGGCAGCAGUAGGGAAUCUUCCGCAAAGGGCGAAAGCCUGACGGAGCAACGCCGCGUGAGUGAUGAAGGUCUUCGGAUCGUAAAACUCUGUUAUUAGGGAAGAACAAAUGUGUAAGUAACUAUGCACGUCUUGACGGUACCUAAUCAGAAAGCCACGGCUAACUACGUG